rnacentral:rRNA from 1 species
AGUGAACGCUGGCGGUAGGCCUAACACAUGCAAGUCGAACGGCAGCACAGUAAGAGCUUGCUCUUACGGGUGGCGAGUGGCGGACGGGUGAGGAAUACAUCGGAAUCUACUUUUUCGUGGGGGAUAACGUAGGGAAACUUACGCUAAUACCGCAUACGACCUACGGGUGAAAGCAGGGGAUCUUCGGACCUUGCGUGAUUGAAUGAGCCGAUGUCGGAUUAGCUAGUUUGCGGGGUAAGGGCCCACCAAGGCGACGAUCCGUAGCUGGUCUGAGAGGAUGAUCAGCCACACUGGAACUUAGACACGGUCCAUUCUCCUACGUGAGACAGCAGUGGGGAAUAUUGGACAGUGGGCGCAAGCCUGUUCCAGCCAUGCCGCGUGGGUGAAGAAGGCCUUCGGGUUGUAAAGCCCUUUUGUUGAGAAAGAAGAGCAGCAAGUUAAUACCCCGCUGUUCUGACGGUACCCAAAGAAUAAGCACCGGCUAACUUCGUG